rnacentral:rRNA from 1 species
GGACUACCAGGGUAUCUAAUCCUGUUUGAUCCCCACGCUUUCGUGCCUCAGCGUCAAUCAUCGCUUAGUUAGCUGCCUUCGCAAUCGGUGUUCUAUAUCAUAUCUAUGCAUUUCACCGCUACAUGAUAUAUUCCGCCAACCUCAACGAUAUUCAAGAUAAAUAGUAUCAAUGGCAGUUUCUGAGUUGAGCCCAGAGAUUUCACCACUGACUUAAAUACCCGCCUACACACCCUUUAAACCCAGUGAAUCCGGAUAACGCUUGCACCCUCCGUAUUACCGCGGCUGCUGGCAC